rnacentral:lncRNA from 1 species
ACAGCUAUAUCAGGCUCCUAUCUGCAACCACUUCUUGGCAUCCAUAAUAGUGUCUGAGUUUGGUGUCUAUAUAUGGGAUGGAUCUCCAGGUACUAAAGGCAUAACAAGACUGAGAAAAUGACUUGCCAUGUCUUCUGUAAAGCUGAGAUCUUGGUGGUAGGCAGAUGAUCAAGAAUCAACAGUGAAAAAAAAUCAGUGGUAAGUUAUAACAAAAGCCGAGCUGGCUUUACCAAUAACUUCCAUGUCUGCUUAAAGUAUUAAGACUUGAUCUUGGUAGCUCAC